UGUUAAAUGAAAGUUUAAGACCACAAGUUGGAAGAAAAGCCACAUAACUCAAACACAAGUUGAUGGGGCUCCAAAAGAUUAGAACAAC